CUGAUGCUCGCCUUCAAGAUUUCUCGAGGGCUGCACGGUUCCUGUGGAACUCGCUUCCCUCCUCCGUUAGAUGCUCACCCAGUCUCCACUCCUUCAAAAAAAUCGCUAAAAACCCACUUCUUCAUAAAAGCGUAUCAAUUAAACUAUUAAUAGCUCCUGACUGAUUCCUCUUCUGCAACUGUCAGUCUAAUACUAUCCUUACCUUUUUGUGUCAUUUUACCCCACUCCCUCUAGCAUGUAAGCUCAUUGAGCAGGGCUCUCAACCCCUCUGUUCCUGUGUGUCCAACUUGUC